rnacentral:lncRNA from 10 species
AAGGUUAUACAUAUCAACACCUCAAUUUCAGAGGACUAUUCUCAAAGAACAUAAGGACACUGUAGGCCUCUGUACAGAGGUGUUUUAAGUGGUUUCACAAGUGUUAGAGGCAGGUUACCCUGACCAACACACUCCUGCUUGUCCAUAUGUCCAGUGUCAGCCAGAGAUAGCCUUGGGAUAUCUUCUCCCUAGAAGGAGAAGUGUUAACUGGUUCAAAUGGGAAUUGAACUCAUGACCUUGAUUUCAUUCCCACCAUGCUCAGUCACUGGCCAAACUGAAUAGAGACCAGUGAAAACAGCAGGCACAAGAUACUUAAGGACACACAUAGAAUCAGCAAAAACAAGAAUAGCAAUGGACCCAAUGACAGACCACAACUCCUCAGCUACUGUCAGCCACUCAAUUCUGUGGCUCCUUCAGUAUUUUCCACGUCAUCCUUCAAACUGCUGACAGGUCUGGAAUUUUCUCCUUUUAAUUAAAAAAUCUUCACUUGUUAUUUCUGCAAUCUUAUAAAUUCAAUGAUGGUGCCUACAAAUGCCAAUCGUCAUUCAUUCAUCCGUCUGUCCACUUACCUAUCUCACAAACAUUGAGAGCUAUGUGCUAAAAUUGCCCCAGCUUUGCUGGGAUAUCUUCUAGGGGUAUAGAUUGAUAUAUAAAUGAUGUUUACUAUUUCUUUUACGAUUAUAAAAACAACUUUUGUUCAUUAAAAAAAUUUUGCAAACAUAGGAAAUCACAAAGUACCCAUAAUUAUACUAUCCAGAGAUGACCACUGUUAUUCUCCUUCAUCUGUUUUUUUCACUUAACAUUAUAUUGUGUAUAUUUUCCUAUGUCGUCUUUUUCAAAAACACAACUUGUAAUGGUUGCAUGCUUUUUCAACAAAUGGUAUAAUACUUUAACUAUUUCCCUAUAGCUGUGCUAAAACUUAGGUUAUUUCUAAUUUCUGUUAUAAUAGCAUGAUAAAUAUCCCUGUGUAUAAAUCAUUGGCAUGUCUCUGUCCCAUUCCUUAGGAUAAAUUC